AGGGGUUCAAACAUGUUGAUAACUGGCGUUCAUGUCGAGGUUGAUAACUGGCGUUCAUGUUGAGGUUGAUAACUGGCGUUCAUGUUGAUAACUGGCGUUCAUGUCGAGGUUGAUAACUGGCGUUCAUGUCGAGGUUGAUAACUGGCGUUCAUGUUGAUAACUGGCGUUCAUGUCGAGGUUGAUAACUGGCGUUCAUGUUGAUAACUGGCGUUCAUGUCGAGGUUGAUAACUGGCGUUCAUGUUGAGGUUGAUAACUGGCGUUCAUGUCGAGGUUGAUAACUGCCGUUCACGUCGAGGUUGAUAACUGGCGUUCAUGUUGAUAACUGGCGUUCAUGUCGAGGUUGAUAACUGGUGUUCAUGUUGAUAACUGCCGUUCAUGUUGAGGUUGAUAACUGGCGUUCAUGUUGAUAACUGGCGUUCAUGUCGAGGUUGAUAACUGGCGUUCAUGUCGAGGUUGAUAACUGGUGUUCAUGUUGAUAACUGGCGUUCAUGUCGAGGUUGAUAACUGGCAUUCAUGUCGAGGUUGAUAACUGGCGUUCAUGUUGAUAACUGGCGUUCAUGUCGAGGUUGAUAACUGGCAUUCAAGUCGAGGUUGAUAACUGGUGUUGAGGUUGAUAACUGGUGUUAAUGUCGAGGUUGAUAACUGCCGUUCAUGUCGAGGUUGAUAACUGGCGUUCACGUCGAGGUUGAUAACUGGCGUUCAUGUUGAGGUUGAUAACUGGCGUUCAUGUUGAGGUUGAUAACUGGCAUUCAUGUUGAGGUUGAUAACUGCCGUUCAUGUCGAGGUUGAUAACUGGCGUUCAUGUUGAGGUUGAUAACUGGUGUUGAGGUUGAUAACUGGCGUUCAUGUUGAGGUUGAUACAGCUGUUCAUGUCGAGGUUGAUAACUGGCGUUCAUGUUGAGGUUGAUAACUGGUGUUGAGGUUGAUAACUGGUGUUAAUGUCGAGGUUGAUAACUGGCGUUCAUGUCGAGGUUGAUAACUGGCAUUCAUGUCGAGGUUGAUAACUGGCAUUCAUGUCGAGGUUGAUAACUGGCAUUCACGUCGAGGUUGAUAACUGGCGUUCACGUCGAGGUUGAUAACUGGCGUUCACGUCGAGGUUGAUAACUGGCGUUCAUGUUGAGGUUGAUAACUGGCGUUCAUGUUGAGGUUGAUAACUGCCGUUCAUGUUGAGGUUGAUAACUGGCGUUCAUGUCGAGGUUGAUAACUGGCGUUCAUGUCGAGGUUGAUAACUGCCGUUCAUGUUGAGGUUGAUAACUGGCGUUGAGGUUGAUAACUGGCGUUCAUGUUGAGGUUGAUAACUGGCGUUCAUGUCGAGGUUGAUAACUGCCGUUCAUGUUGAGGUUGAUAACUGGCGUUCAUGUUGAGGUUGAUAACUGCCGUUCAUGUUGAGGUUGAUACAGCUGUUCAUGUCGAGGUUGAUAACUGCCGUUCAUGUUGAGGUUGAUAACUGGUGUUGAGGUUGAUAACUGGUGUUAAUGUCGAGGUUGAUAACUGGCGUUCAUGUCGAGGUUGAUAACUGGCAUUCAUGUCGAGGUUGAUAACUGGCAUUCAUGUCGAGGUUGAUAACUGGCAUUCACGUCGAGGUUGAUAGCUGGCGUUCACGUCGAGGUUGAUAACUGGCGUUCACGUCGAGGUUGAUAACUGGCAUUCAUGUUGAGGUUGAUAACUGGCGUUCAUGUUGAGGUUGAUAACUGGUGUUGAGGUUGAUAACUGGUGUUCAUGUUGAGGUUGAUAACUGGCGUUCAUGUUGAGGUUGAUAACUGCCGUUCAUGGUGAGGUUGAUAACUGGCGUUCAUGUCGAGGUUGAUAACUGCCGUUCAUGUCGAGGUUGAUAACUGGCGUUCAUGUUGAGGUUGAUAACUGGUGUUGAGGUUGAUAACUGGUGUUAAUGUCGAGGUUGAUAACUGGCGUUCAUGUCGAGGUUGAUAACUGGCAUUCAUGUCGAGGUUGAUAACUGGCAUUCAUGUCGAGGUUGAUAACUGGCAUUCACGUCGAGGUUGAUAACUGGCGUUCACGUCGAGGUUGAUAACUGGCAUUCAUGUUGAGGUUGAUAACUGGUGUUGAGGUUGAUAAUUGGCGUUCAUGUUGAGGUUGAUACAGCUGUUCAUGUCGAGGUUGAUAACUGCCGUUCAUGUUGAGGUUGAUAACUGGUGUUGAGGUUGAUAACUGGUGUUAAUGUCGAGGUUGAUAACUGGCGUUCAUGUCGAGGUUGAUAACUGGCAUUCAUGUCGAGGUUGAUAACUGGCAUUCAUGUCGAGGUUGAUAACUGGCAUUCACGUCGAGGUUGAUAACUGGCGUUCACGUCGAGGUUGAUAACUGGCGCUCACGUCGAGGUUGAUAACUGGCGUUCAUGUUGAGGUUGAUAACUGGCGUUCAUGUUGAGGUUGAUAACUGCCGUUCAUGUUGAGGUUGAUAACUGGCGUUCAUGUCGAGGUUGAUAACUGGCGUUCAUGUCGAGGUUGAUAACUGCCGUUCAUGUUGAGGUUGAUAACUGGCGUUGAGGUUGAUAACUGGCGUUCAUGUUGAGGUUGAUAACUGGCGUUCAUGUCGAGGUUGAUAACUGCCGUUCAUGUUGAGGUUGAUAACUGGCGUUCAUGUUGAGGUUGAUAACUGCCAUUCAUGUUGAGGUUGAUACAGCUGUUCAUGUCGAGGUUGAUAACUGGCGUUCAUGUUGAGGUUGAUAACUGGUGUUGAGGUUGAUAACUGGUGUUAAUGUCGAGGUUGAUAACUGGCGUUCAUGUCGAGGUUGAUAACUGGCAUUCAUGUCGAGGUUGAUAACUGGCAUUCAUGUCGAGGUUGAUAACUGGCGUUCACGUCGAGGUCGAUAGCUGGCGUUCACGUCGAGGUUGAUAACUGGCGUUCACGUCGAGGUUGAUAACUGGCGUUCAUGUUGAGGUUGAUAACUGGCGUUCAUGUUGAGGUUGAUAACUGGCGUUCAUGUUGAGGUUGAUAACUGGUGUUGAGGUUGAUAACUGGUGUUCAUGUUGAGGUUGAUAACUGGCGUUCAUGUUGAGGUUGAUAACUGCCGUUCAUGUUGAGGUUGAUAACUGCCGUUCAUGUCGAGGUUGAUAACUGGUGUUCAUGUUGAGGUUGAUAACUGGCGUUGAGGUUGAUAACUGGCGUUCAUGUUGAGGUUGAUAACUGGCGUUCAUGCCGAGGUUGAUAACUGGCGUUCACGUCGAGGUUGAUAACUGGCGUUCAUGUCGAGGUUGAUAACUGGCGUUCAUGUUGAGGUUGAUAACUGGCGUUCAUGUCGAGGUUGAUAACUGGUGUUGAGGUUGAUAACUGGCGUUCAUGUUGAGGUUGAUAACUGGUGUUGAGGUUGAUAACUGGCGUUCAUGUUGAGGUUGAUAACUGGCUUUCAUGUUGAGGUUGAUAACUGCCGUUGAGGUUGAUAACUGGCGUUCAUGUUGAGGUUGAUAACUGGCGUUCAUGUCGAGGUUGAUAACUGGCGUUCACGUCGAGGUUGAUAACUGGCGUUCAUGUCGAGGUUGAUAACUGGCGUUCAUGUUGAGGUUGAUAACUGGCGUUCAUGUUGAGGUUGAUAACUGGUGUUGAGGUUGAUAACUGGCGUUCAUGUUGAGGUUGAUAACUGCCGUUCAUGUCGAGGUUGAUAACUGGCGUUCAUGUUGAGGUUGAUAACUGGCAUUCAUGUUGAGGUUGAUAACUGCCGUUCAUGUCGAGGUUGAUAACUGGCGUUCAUGUUGAGGUUGAUAACUGGCGUUGAGGUUCAUAACUGGCGUUCAUGUUGAGGUUGAUAACUGGCGUUCAUGUCGAGGUUGAUAACUGCCGUUCAUGUUGAGGUUGAUAACUGCCGUUCAUGUUGAGGUUGAUAACUGCGUUCAUGUUGAGGUUGAUAACUGGCGUUGAGGUUCAUAACUGGCGUUCAUGUUGAGGUUGAUAACUGGCGUUCAUGUCGAGGUUGAUAACUGCCGUUCAUGUUGAGGUUGAUAACUGCGUUCAUGUUGAGGUUGAUAACUGGCGUUCAUGUUGAGGUUGAUAACUGGCGUUGAGGUUGAGGUUGAUAACUGCCGUUCAUGUUGAGGUUGAUAACUGGUGUUAAUGUUGAGGUAGAUAACUGGUGUUAAUGUUGAGGUAGAUAACUGGUGUUAAUGUUGAGGUUGAUAACUGGCAU